rnacentral:rRNA from 1 species
CCUACGGGAGGCAGCAGUGAGGAAUAUUGGUCAAUGGCCGGAAGGCUAAACCAGCCAAGCCGCGUGAAGGACGAAGGUGCCAAGCAUUGUAAACUUCUUUUGUCAAGGGACAAAAUCAGGCUCGAGAGCCUGACCGAGGGUACUUGAAGAAAAAGCAUCGGCUAACUCCGUGCCAGCAGCCGCGGUAAUACGGAGGAUGCGAGCGUUAUCCGGAUUUAUUGGGUUGAAAGGGUGCGUAGGCGGACUGUUAAGUCAGCGGUAAAAGCCCGGGGCUCAACCCCGGCGAGCCGUUGAAACUGGCUGUCUUGAGAUGUCGAGAGGUAUGCGGAAUGCGCAGUGUAGCGGUGAAAUGCUUAGAUAUUGCGCAGAACUCCGAUUGCGAAGGCAGCAUACCGGCGGCGAUCUGACGCUGAGGCACGAAAGCGUGGGUAUCGAACAGGAUUAGAUACCCCUGUAGUC